AUUGAACGCUGGCGGAAUGCUUUACACAUGCAAGUCGAACGGCAGCACGGGUGCUUGCACCUGGUGGCGAGUGGCGAACGGGUGAGUAAUACGUAGGAACAUGUCCAGUAAUGGGGGAUAACGCAGCGAAAGUUGUGCUAAUACCGCAUACGUCCUGAGGGAGAAAGCGGGGGAUCGCAAGACCUCGCGUUAUUGGAGUGGCCUACGUCCGAUUAGCUAGUUGGUGGGGUAAGAGCCCACCAAGGCGACGAUCAGUAGCUGGUCUGAGAGGAUGAUCAGCCACACUGGGACUGAGACACGGCCCAGACUCCUACGGGAGGCAGCAGUGGGGAAUUUUGGACAAUGGGGGCAACCCUGAUCCAGCCAUUCCGCGUGAGUGAAGAAGGCCUUCGGGUUGUAAAGCUCUUUCAGCAGGGAAGAAACGGUUGCAGCUAAUACCUGCGACUAAUGACGGUACCUGCAGAAGAAGCACCGGCUAACUACGUGCCAGCAGCCGCGGUAAUACGUAGGGUGCGAGCGUUAAUCGGAAUUACUGGGCGUAAAGCGUGCGCAGGCGGUUUUGUAAGUCAGAUGUGAAAUCCCCGGGCUUAACCUGGGAACUGCGUUUGAAACUACAAGGCUAGAGUGUGGCAGAGGGGGGUAGAAUUCCACGUGUAGCAGUGAAAUGCGUAGAGAUGUGGAGGAAUACCGAUGGCGAAGCAGCCCCCUGGGUCAACACUGACGCUCAUGCACGAAAGCGU
rnacentral:rRNA from 1 species